rnacentral:misc_RNA from 1 species
GAAAUGCGAUAAGUAAUGUGAAUUGCAGAAUUCAGUGAAUCAUCGAAUCUUUGAACGCACCUUGCGCUCCUUGGUAUUCCUUGGAGCAUGCCUGUUUGAGUAUCAUGAAAUCUUCAAAGUAAAUCUUUUGUUAACUCAAUUGGUUUCUACUUUGGUAUUGGAGGUCUUUGCAGCUUCACACCUGCUCCUCUUUGUUCAUUAGCUGGAUCUCAGUGUUAUGCUUGGUUCCACUCGGCGUGAUAAGUUAUCUAUCGCUGAGGACACUGUAAUAGGUGGCCAAGGUAAAUGCAGAUGAACCGCUUCUAAUAGUCCAUUGACUUGGACAAUACUUUUAUGAUCUGAUCUCAAAUCAGGUAGGACUACCCGCUGAGCUUAAGC